AUACAUACAUAACUGCAUACCGCGUUCUUCGUGAUUAUAAUCUUUGCUGUAUGUAAUAUGCGCAUAUUUUAUAUUAUCAAUUAUACAUUCAAAUUGAUACGUAAAAGAAAACCUGCGUGGCGCGACAAUAUUUUGCGAUAUUAAAAAGCUAGGCUUGUACAAAGCGCUUAUCAAAAUUAUGCAAAAACAACGCAAGUUUUAACAAAUUCGCCCUAAAUAUGUGCGCGAAUGUAUAAAAUAAAAUUGUUGCUCCGAUACGCUAAAACAGCUCUUCGCAUGUAUCAUUUCUAAUUAUCGCGUUAUCAUAUAUUAAAUUAAAAAACCGAUUAACAAUUUUUACACAAAAUGUAAAAUCAGAGAUAAUAAAACGUGUAUACUUAAACUCUCCGAUAGUUACUAUAAAUAAACUUACUCACGUGACACUUUACACGGAAAACGCAUCUCUCUGGCAAAAGGAAAAAUUGUAGUUCCAUCUUCCGAAAACUCACCGAUGAUCGGCCGAUCGUUCAACUCCUCUCCGGUGGUCACAGCUGUGAAAGCGUACGCCAGAAAUGAGCACAGAAGCCACAGAACGUUCAUCAUGAGCAACAACACAAAUACAGCUGUUAGAGGAGUGAAAGAAA